rnacentral:lncRNA from 1 species
CUGACCCCGCCCCUCCCCAGCCUUUCUUUUUGUGCAGGUCGCAGGUCUCUCUUUUUUCUUAUAGAACAAUUUUCUUAUAUCAAAAAAUCUAUCUCUCUUUUUUUCCCUUUAUUGUACUUCGUAUAUUUCUUUAUAGAGGGACAUGCGUUCUUGCAUGUAGGCUUGAACUCAUAGCUAUUUAUCUUCUGACUGAGAAAUGUGUACCAAACUGCAUAAACGGAAGUUUUGAUUGUGCAUCAUAUUUCAGAUUUGUGCAAGAAUCAUGUUGGUUUACUGAAUGUGAAGAAUGUGGAUUGACAAGAUUUCUAUUUGCAGACUUUGUGGUGUUGCAUCUCAUAAGCGUUGACGCAACUUUUGGUCCUUGAUCAUCUUAUUGCUUUUGGACUACUUCCUCUACAUCCGAGGGUGAGAUGCAAACCCACCUCAUUCUCCGGGUUUUUUUCAUGUCGCCAGAUUUUCUUUUCACGUCAAGUCGCGUAACCUAGGCGUCUCCCGUCCGAAAUGGUUGCAUCGAUAAAUAUGUAUUUAAUUGCAUAUUUAUCACCGCAAUUGUUUCGGAUUGUCCAGCGUUUUCCACGGACAGCCCGGGGAUGUGUAGAUUGGGUACGUUUUUCAUGCUCUAUCCCGUUUGAAGACAGGAUUUCGGCGGCGCCUCCCCGUUGUUCUCCGGAUGCAUAUUCUCUCAGCUUUUUGCCGAGACUUGUAUCUGGAGAGCAGCGGGGAGGUGCUGUCGAAAUUUUGUCUCGGAACGGGAUAGAGCAUGGAGGACGUACUCAAUCUACACAUCCUCGGGUGGGAUUAGGACCCUCUUUACCUAUUAGAGAUGUAGGUGGAUUCAGUGCCUUUUCUCGUUAACCCGAUAGAAAAUAAAACCUCUUUAAUGAAUCCAUAAUUUGUAUGUGAUUAAAUUUAAUGAAUCCAUAAUUUUGUUGUGUGGCUCGUGAUACAGUAAAGGAUGACAGAUAAUAAGUGGAUGUACAACGGUUUUAUCCGACGGAAUCAAGUGACAACAGAGUGGGUCGAGAAAACCGAUGUGUUCUUGAAGGAGAUAUUCCGUUGUCCAAUGAUAGUUAACCCAGAAUGCCCCUGUGCAAAAUGUGAAAGACGUCACCGUAGAGAUACGGGAGAAAUGACGGUGCACCUUCGCACGUUUGGAUAUAUGGAAGACUUUAAUAUGCCCAUAAACUUUGCCGAGCGGGAUCGUGGUAGAGAGGAGGUGAUGCGACAACGCAUCGGUGGUUACGAGGAUGAUGGGGUUAGAGACAUGCUAGAUGAUGUCUUUGCUGCCGAGACGACACAUACAACACCUUCAGAGAAUGAACCAGAGGAGCCAGAGGCAAUUGCAAAGGCCUUCUUGGAGGUCUUGGCCUCAUCAAAGAAACCUCUUUAUGCGGGUGCCAAAAUUUCUCAGUUGGAUGCCAUCUCACAACUGAUGGCAGUCAAGGCUGAGUACGGCUGUACCCAAGCUUGCUUUGAAGCAUUUCUGGGAGUAUGGGCUAACAGCCUUCCUGAGGGUCAUGAACUGCCGAAAAGCAUGUAUGCCACGAAGAAAAUCCUGAACGCACUGUCUAUGAAAUAUGAGAAAAUAGAUGCUUGUCCGAAGAAUUGCCUUUUGUUUAGGCACGAGUAUGCGGAUGACAAGUACUGUAGGGAGUGUGGUUCCUCUCGGUACCUUGAGGUGGUCGAUGAGCACGGUGACAAGAAGCAACUAGACAUCCCAGUGAAGAUUCUUCGGUAUCUCCAUUUCAUAGAAAGACUGCAGCGCCUUUUCAUUACGGAGGAGUCUGCCAAAAUGAUGAAGUGGCACAAAGGGGAAAGGGACGAUAAAAGAAAAAUCAUACAUCCAUCGCAAGCUGAAGCAUGGAAGUCAUUCGAUAAAGAAUAUCCCGAGGAAGCAGCCGAGGCCGGGAAUGUCAGGCUUGCGAUAACAGGUGACGGGUUGAAUCCCUAUGGUAUGUCAUCCAAUCCAUACAGUUGCUGGCCCGUGUUUGUUAUUCCGCUCAAUCUCCCUCCCGGUGUCAUAAUGCAACGCAAGACCAUGUUCUUGUCGCUGAUCAUUCCGGGGCCUGACUACCCGGGAAAGAAUUUGGGAGUGUUUAUGCAACCGCUGGUGGAUGAUUUGCUCCAUUGUUGGUACUUCCCAAGGUUGACAUAUGACCGACAUCUGCAGAAAAACUUCUUAAUGAAAGCUUGGUUGAUGUAUUGCAUGCAUGACUUUCCCGGUUAUCACCUAUUUUGCGGAUGGUGUACAAGUGGGAAGAUGCCAUGCCCAGUGUGCAUGCAGGCUCUACUUUUUAUUUGGCUGCAGAAGGGUGGCAAGUAUGUAGCCUUUGACAUGCAUCGGCAGUUCCUCCCUCCAAACCAUCCAGACAGGGAAGACAAGAAGAACUUCACGAAAGGCCGGGUUGUCCAUGAAGUAAACGAGAUUCCAACAUUUUCUGGGGCAGAUGUUCUUGCUCAGCUAAAAGCUCUCAAGCCUAAAGGCGAAGGCAAAGGCAAAGGCAAAGGCAAAGGCAAAGGCAAAGGAAAAGGAAAAGGAAAAGGGGAAAGUGAAGGAGAAGGCCCAGACAAAUGCAAAGGCAAAGGAAAAGGCAAAGCGAAACGUUUUGAGGGAUAUGGUGAGAUGCACAACUGGACUCACAUUACCCCGUUCACGAAGCUUCCCUAUUUCAAGGACCUCAAACUUCCUUAUAACAUUGAUGUGAUGCACACCAAAAAGAAUGUUGCAGAGUCCCUUUUUUCCACGAUCCUCAACAUUCCUGAUAAGACAAAGGAUAACGUUAAAGCUAGAGCCGAUCAACAAAAAAUUUGUGAUAGACCACGUCUAAACAUGCGACCUCCAACAGACGGUCGAACAAAUUGGUUCAAACCAGAUGCUGACUUCGUCCUUAAACCGCUAGAAAAUAAGGAAGCACUUAUGUGGCUCAAACACAUUGUGAAGUUCACUGAUGGUUAUGCAUCAAAUAUUAGUAAGGGAGUCAAUCUUUCAACGGGCAAAGUGACCGGGCUCAAGAGUCAUGACUAUCAUGUAUGGAUUGAGCGGAUAAUGCCGGUGAUGGUUCGUGGCUAUGUCCCUGAGCGUGUCUGGCGAGUGCUUGCAGAGCUAAGCCAUUUCUUUCGCACGAUAUGUGCUAAAGAAGUAUGUCCUGAGGUGAUUGAACAAUUGCAUAAGAAGGCACCAGACUUGAUAUGCAAGCUAGAGAAGAUCUUUCCGCCAGGCUUCUUUACUCCGAUGACACAUCUCAUUUUGCACCUUGCGAAGGAGGUAUUGUUGGGGGGGGGCCUGUGCAGAAUCGUUGGCAGUACGGCCCUGAGAGACAGAACAAGCAUCUUAGAAAGAAAUGUGGAAACAAAGCUAAGAUUGAAGCUUCCAUAGCUGAGGCAGUUCAACUUAAUUCCCCUAGUUCAACUUAAUUCCUAGUUCAACAUUUAUGACUUGAUGGAACUAAUGCACCCAUCAAUUUCAAUUACACUUGUAGGGCAAAGAUCCGAACACCUCUAUGGAUGAUGAAUUGAGAUGGGUUUCCAUGGGUUUUAACGCUCAGGUCAUGAAAUGUGAAAAGUAUGAUGUGAAUGGUUAUCGCUUCCAUACAGAGGAUCACCAGAAUAGCCGGCCUGAUCCCAAAACUAUAAACACAGGAGUGUACACCCCAGGAGAAAAUGAAGUUGAGUACUACGGAAGGGUAGGAAAAAUAUACGAGCUGUCAUUCGAUCUUGGUGGCGAGGACCUAAAUCUUGCUGUGUUCAAAUGUCGAUGGUUUGACCCAUAUGAGGGGUUGAGACAUACGCCUUCCCUUGGUUUGGUCGAAGUAAAACCAUCCACCGUUUAUGCAGGAGCCGAUCUUUUUAUUGCGGCUACCCAUGCCACACAAGUUUAUUAUCUGCCCUACCCAUGCCAGAAAGAGUACCUAAAGGGUUGGGAAGUUGUGUUCAAGGUGGCGCCACAUGGUAAGCUACCGGACCCGGACGAUGACGACUACUUCUACAUUAACCCCAUGACAUACGAGGGAGUGUUCUAUCAAGAGCAACUUGAUGAUGUUGAUGUGGUUCGAUACAAUGAUGCUGAUGUUGAUGUGGAUCCAAAUGAUGACGAUGCACGAGAUGAUGGCGAGACCAUUGUGAACAACCAAGACAUAUUAAUGCUAGAGAAAUUAAAUGAAUACGCUGAAGACGAGGAAGAGCCUGCACCUACGUCAGACAAUGAAGAUGAUAUGCGUGAUAGUGACGAUGAGACCGGUCGAGGAAACGGUUACAACAGUGAUGAUUCGUAUGGGUUUUAACACAUGUAUGUUCCAUGUCUUAUUUGUAUGUUUUAUUAAUAUGUAUUUUUUAUAUGGUUUAUUAAUAUGUCUCUUUUAUAUGUUUUAUUAAUAUGUCUUUUUUAUAUGGUUUAUUAAUAUGUCUUUUCUAUUAUUACACUAACCUUUUAUUCUCUUUUAAUGCAGGUUCGCUAAGUAUGGGAAAAGGCAAGGCCGAUGGUACUGGUUUGCUAAAAAAACUCGUCGCGAAGGUUAGUCGGAGUGGUCGACCCCGUAAUGUCCCCUCCCGACUACUUGACGAUGAGUUCUCACAGGGAGGUCGAGGGAGAGGUGCCCGAGGAGGACGUGGUGGGGGGAGAGGCCCAGGGGGACGGUCUCGGGGCCAGAAACUACGCUCUAUGACCGACAUAGGUGGGUCGUCUUCGCGACCCUUCGCUAGUGAGGUAACCUCUGAGGAGGAGGAGGAGGUUAGGGAGG